AGGCUGCAUAAGCCCACAGAAUCCUGCUGAUUGAGGACUGGCUCCAAGUUGAGGCCAAGGCAGUUGUGUGAGGCCUUGGUGGUUGGAGGGAACUGAUGGGUGGAAUGAGAAUGAAGCUUAGAAGUCCAGGUACUGGAGUUAGUAUCUGAUGGGAGUGGUAUAGGGGCUGAUGUUUCCAGGAGAGUGGCAGGGAGGUAUGGUCACCAUUGGUUUAGACCUUGUUGCAUCUAUGCUUGUAAUUGCUUAUAAUAAAUCGGGCCAUGUCAUUUAUACAGCAAGCCCCACUUUCCCAUCCAUAUUAAGUACAUUGAGAGUAAUAGAGCUGGGGUGAAAAUAAUCACAGUUCAAUUGGUUUUAAAUAUGCUAAUGCCGGGGCACCUGGGUGACUCAGUUGGUUCAGGGUCUGGACUCUUUGUUUUGGCUCAGGUCAUGACCUCAUGGUUUCCAAUAUUGAGCCCUGAGUCAGGCUCUAUGCUGGCAGCAUGGAGCUUGCUUGAGAUUCUCUCUCUCCCUCUCUCUGCCCCUCCCCUGCUCCUGCUCUCUCUUUCUCAAAACAAAUAAUUAAACAUUAAAAAAUAUUUUUUAAUAUGCUAAUACCUGUGUUGAAAGCCCAGUGAGAUGAGCAGAUGGGAACACACCUUUGGAGGAUGUGAACAUGAUGUUACAAGGCGGGAUGAUGAGUGAGCGAAACAGACCCUCAAAAGAUCACUAAUAGAAGUAGUUAUGAAGAGUCCAGUAGGAGGGCACCUGGGUAGCUCAGUCGGUUAAGUGUCCGACUUCGGCUCAGGUCAUGAUCUCAUGGUUGGUGGGUUUGAGCCCAGUAUCGGUCUCUGUGCUGACAGCUCAGAGCCUAGAGCCUGCUUCAGAUUCUGUCUCCCUCUCUCUCUGCCCCUCCCCUGCUCAUGCUCUGUUUCUCUGUCUCUCUCUCAAAAAUAAACAAACAUUAAGAGUCAAGUGGAGAUCUAGGAGAAACAGAAUUUGGGACACAUGAAGGAUUUGGUGGCAAGGACAGAAGACUGUAAGGAGAAUGGGAUGCAAAAGAGGGAAGUUCUUUCAGAUGUUUGUCUUGGGCAUAAAGAAGAAACAAGGUAUUAUUUUUCAGAUUGGAAUACUGGAUUUUUGCUCUCAGGAACCAAGAGUUUCCUACUCGUUGAAUAAAUGGGUUUGUGGUUUCAGGGGAGCCCCAUCCGGGAACAAAGAAGUCUUGCUCGGCUUCAUGUUUUAAAUUGGGUUAAAAAAAAAUCCAUACCACGCUAAUAAUCAAUAAUCUUGAGAGCCUGGUUCUUGAGAAGGAAAAGGUUUUCUACUUUUCAAGAAGAUUCCCUUUCUGUAUCUAGAGCAAGGCUUGGGGGUCUGAGCAUAGAGCAAUGCGUUAAGCCAUCAUGCUGAGAAUAGAGUCGUUGACACAAAGGAAGUACCUGUCCUGUAGAAAUAUUCAUCUGGUGCCUAGAGGAGCUUAGAGCAAGACUCAGAAGGGAUGAGAAGGGGGUGAGGCACUGUGUGCCCUGCCCACCAGCCACAGAUGGGGGUGGGGGGGCAAGGUGGUGGAAACAGCUGAGAUGGGGUGACAGGAAGUAGAAAGCAGAUUUGGAUGAGUGGGAGGAGAACCCCUUGUAGGUGUCUAUACAGGGUAUGCAUGGCAGUGGAAAUGCUGGCAGAUUGUGUUUCAGCAGAGGGAGGGCCCGACACCGUGGCCCUUGCUUCUUCUCCAGAACUUCCCAGGUGACGCCUGGGGGUGCAUAAGUUGGCAGACAAUUAAAAGCUAGCAUGCCUGUUGAGGGGUGACUGGGUCAGGGGGACCCCUUGGCAGGGUCUCAGAGUAGACAGAGCUGGCGCCAGAGGGAAGGUGAGGCUGAACCCUGGUGGGGCAGGGGUACCAGGGCAGAGGGAUGGCCAGACUGCCCAGAAGUACUUGUUAGGCAUGGUCUACGUGGAGAGAGCAGGUCGUGAACAUCAGAAACCCAGCUGGACAAGGGGUGGGAGAGGAUGUGGCUUAGGGGUCAGCACAGGGGAAAGGCACUUAAAGGUUUUCAUUCAUAACAAGAGCAAAAUGAGUCUCCAGCAUAUUAAGACCUGUGAAAUAAGGCCGCCUGGGUGGCUCACUCAAUCAAGCAUCCAACUUCAGCUCAGGUCAUGAUCUCACGGUUCGUGGGUUUGAGCCCUGCAUCGGGCUCUGCACUGACAGCUUGGAGCCUGCUUCAGAUUCAGUGUCUCUCUCUGCCCCUUCCCCGUUUGUGCUCUGUCUCUGUCUCGCAAAAAUCAAUAAACAUUAAAAAAAAAAAAAGAUCUGUGGGGGUGCCUGGGUGGCUCAGUUGGUUAAGCAACUGACUGGCUCAGGUCACGAUCUCGCAGUUUGCCAUUCGUGGGUUUGAGCCCCGCGUCGGGCUCUGUGCUGACAGCUCAGAGCCUGGAGCUGCUUCAGAUUCUGUGUCUCCCUCUCUCUCUGCCCCUUCCCUGCUCAUGCUCUGUCUCAAAAACAAAUAAACACUUAAAAGAAAACAACAACAAAAAGUUCUGUGAGAUAAAAUGAAGGGGUUGUAGUCUGGUCCCAUUCUUCUCUGGGCUGGUCAGCUCCCUUCCGGAGCACUGGAGUCGUGCUGGGGUCUCACUGUGAGACUGACCUGUCGAACCAGACCCCGUUCAGACAGUGAGAAACUGCCACAUGAGAGUAGGUAAGAAGAAUCUAGAGCAUGUAGUCUAGAGAAAAACAAUUCAGGAGUGACACACUACUCAAGGUCCUCCACAUUCCUGAGGGCAGACUCAGUGUGUGGACAUUACAGAGAGAGAGAUUUCAGCUUCGAACCCAAAAGAAAUGUUUAAUAAUUCUGAGCGGGCGUUGGCUGAAUCAGGACACAAUGCAUUCUCUGGAGCUGGUGUCUCCACGCAGAAGCCAGGACAUUACUCAGGACUCCCGAAUGGGGCUGAGCACGUGAGCCGCUAAAACUGCGUGUGGGGGAGCUAGCUCCCCAUCUCAUCCCGUCACAUCGUGGAGGAAGGGGCGUCUGCAACAGGGGCCCUAAGGCUGGGGAAGGAGGAGAUGCCUUUUGCUUCUGGAGGACGGGUGCCAUGCUCAGAGCAGCCCAGCCAUGACUCACACAUCCAAAUGAGGCUGCUGCCUUAUAAGGAGGCACUUUGAAGGCUAUUAUUCCAAGGAGCCUGCCACCUCCCCAAGCAUUUUUAGAACUCCUGCUUUGAAUCACUACCAGUGUCAAGAUGGUGAAUCCUCACACCUCCUGGGAGCAGUUAUUUUUGGAAACAAUGAAAGUCAGGAAAGUAUCCUUGGGAACAGAGGUGGUGCUGUGCAGAGGCGAGCCUUCAGGGUUUCAAGUGCUUGGACCUCGCCCAGCUCUGGCCGGGUGCCGGGAAUUGAGAUGGUGUCAGGUGACAAGAGGCCACCUUCCCCGCAGCUGGCCUCCUACUCAGGCUGUGAUGAAGGAGUCAGAAUACCUGCAACGGCCACACAACCACGAUGACCGCAGACUCCCCAGCAACCACAAUUGCAGCCACCACACUGUGGGGCCAUAUGACCAACAUCAGCAAUCGCUACGGUAAACUGCAGCAAGCACAUAAGCACACAACAGCAGUCGCAACCACACCAUCUGCACGACCACACAACACCCACACAAGCACCGCGACCUGCAGCAACCACUGCGUCAGUGGCCAUUUAUCAACUCUGUCUCAUGUUCCGACUUGAGACCCGGAAAGGGAGGUCUGCCAUGCCUCCCGAGACAGAUCAGCAGAGACCUGGGAGGCUUCUCGGACCUUUGGGUGGGAAUGAGCCGGUGGGAACUUGGAUCAGCCUCGCUUUCCGGUCUCUACUUGGCUUGUAAAGGCAGAACUACGUUAGGACGUCAGACACCUGCAGCGUUGUACUUUCAGGUGCGGUACAAGGGACGUACAAGCCUGCACCCACUGCGGAAGUUCUUCAAAGGACGACGCUGACCUUACCAGCGUGUGGUAAAACAAGGUAAAAGAGCCCCAAAGUCCCCUUCUGUGGCCCCUGUGGGUUGUGGUGGGGGUCCAAGGAGUGGAGAAUGGAGAGGGGUCUGGGGCUGCUCCAGUGUGCAACACUGUUGUGAAAGCUGGGGCUGAUUCUGGUCAAGGCUUGGUCUGGAUGCUGUGGGUUCCCCCGACCUCUGAUGCCGUGUGCCCAUCCAUCACCUGAGAUUCUUUUUAUUUUUUUAAUUUCAUUAAAAAAAUUUCUUUCUAGCGAAAUAACACAAUUUCAUCAUUCAGUGUGGCAUGUUGUGUUUUGACUCCUAUUGUUUCCUCUGAGUUAAUCGGCAAAGGGUAGCAGUUUGCUGGGGGAAUGACGCAAAUAUAUGGAAGCUUCAUGAAUUUGCACGAAUUGUACGGGGCCAGGCUAAUCUUCUCUGUAUUGUUCCAAUUUUAGUAUAUGGGCUGCCAAAGCGAGCACUAAUUUCAUUUUAUGUUUUUCAGCAUGUUAAGUGUACUCUUUAAUCCCCAUCCCCAGUCCCCGCCCCCAUCUCCCCUCUGGUAACCAACAGAGUGUUCUCUAUUAAGAGUCUGUUUCCUGGUUUGCUUUUUUCCCCUUUGCUUGUUUAUUUCGUUUUUUAAAUUCCACAUAUGAGUGAAAUCAUAUGGUAUUUGUCUUUCUCUGACUGACUUCACUCAGCAUUAUACUCUUUAGCUCCAUCCAUGCUGUUGCAAAUGGCAAGAUUUCAUUUAUUUUGAUAGCCGAAUAAUAUUCCAUUGACUAUGUACCAUAUCUUUAUCCAUUCUUUAGUUGGUGGACACUUGGGCUACUUCCAUAGUUUGGCUAUUGGAAACAAUGCUGCUGUAAACAUAGGGGUGCAGUUAUCCCUCUGAGUUAGUGUGUUUGUGUUUUUUGGGUAAACACCCAGUAGUGUGAUUCCUGGAUCAUAGGGUAGCUCUAUUUUUAAUUUUUUGAAGAAACUCCAUAUUGUGUUCCACAGCGGCUGCACCAACUUUCAUUCCCACCAACAGUGCAAGAGUGUUCCCUUUUUUCCACAUCCUCACCAACACUUGUUUCUUGUGUUUUUGAUUUUAGCCAUUCUGUCAGGUGUGAGGUGAUAUCUCAUUAGAGUUUUGAUUUGCAUUUUCCUGAUGACAGUGAUGUGUGGGGAAUAAGUUUAGGAAUUCCCUGAGUUAACAAGGCACAUAGGAAUGAAUAGGAAGCCUCAGGAUGAAAGCAUAAGAAUCAUUUAUCAAGACCUAGGUCGUCAGGGCAGAAGCACCCCUCACCUCCCCACUCCCCCACCCUCUUAGUAUAAUAGCAGAAAGCUGCUUUCACAGGAGGAAAGGACCAAAAUAGGUAAACAAGUAAAAGGGCUAUAGACCACAGGAGGGAGAAGUUGCCCAGAGCAGAGCUAAUUAGCAAAAGAAAGGUGCCUUGUUGACCCUGAGGUAGCAGGCACUAUCAAGUCUAUCCCCUAGGCAAGCUAAGAUAAACAGAUGAGGUGCCUUCUGCCUUCCAUAAACAACCAUAUCCUUGGUGCCUGGAUUUUGUUUUGUACUGACCCAAACCCCUAACACCCCAUAUCUUCAAAAUCCCCUUUCUCCCACCCACAUGAGUUAAUGUUCACGGUUUCAUUGUCUCUUUCUGCACGUUCAUCACAUUUGUAAGCCUUCUGAUCCUAAUAAAAACUGAGCAAGGACUCUUGUCUCCAGGGCUCUUGUCUCCUCCAGGACAUUAGCCUCUCUCGCAUUUUAAUCCUGCCUCCCCUCUCUUGCUGGACAAGAGAGAACUCCAGACCCAGAGUCUACGACGAUGUUGAACAUCUUUUCAUGUGUCUGUUGGCUCUCUGUAUGUCUUCUUUUGAGAAAUGUCUGUUCAUAUCUUCUGCCCAUUUUUUAAUUGGAUUAUUUGUUUGUUUUGUUCUUUUUUUGGUGUUGAGUUGUAUCAGUUCUUUGUAUGCUUUGGAUACUAACCUUUUAUUGAAUAUGCCAGUAUCCUCUCCCAAGCAGGAGGUUGCCUUUUAGUUUUGUUGAUUGUUUCCUUUGCUGCACAGAAGCUGUUUGUCUUGAUGAAGUCCCAAUACUUUAUUUUUGUUUUUAUUUCCCUUGACUCAGGAGACAUAUCUAGAAAAAUGUUGCUUUGGCUGAUGUCAGGGAAAUUACUGCCUAUGUACUCUUCAAGGAUUUUUAUGGUUUUGGUAUCACAUUUAGGUCUUUGAUCCAUUUUGAGUUUAUUUUGGUGUAUGGUGUAAGAAAGUGGUCCAGUUUCAUUCUUUUGUACGUUGCUGUCCAGUUUUCCCAUCACCAUUUGUUGAAGAGACUGUCUUUUUCCCAUUGUAUAUUCAUUCCUCAUUUGCCAAAGAUUAGUUGACUAUAUAAUUUUGGGGUUUAUUUCUGGGUUUUCUGUUCUAUUCAUUUGAUCUAUUUGUCUUUUUUUAUGCCAGUACCAUACUGUUUUAAUUACUAUUGCUUUGUAAUAUAACUUGAAAUCUGGAAUUGUGAUACCUUCAGUUUUGUUUUCAAGAUUGCUUUGGCUAUUUUGAGGUCUUUUGUGGCUCUAUACAAAUGUUAGGAUCAUUUGUUCUAGUUCUGUGAAAAAUGCUAUUGGUAUUUUGAUAGGGAUUACAUUAAAUCUGUAGAUUGCUUUGGGCAGUAUGGACAUUUUAACAAUAUUAGUUCUUUGCAUCUAUGAACAUGGAAUGUCUUUCCAUUUCUCUGAGUCGUAUUGAGUUUCUUUCAUCGGUGUUUUAUGGUUUUCAGACACCUCUUUGGUUAAGUUUAUUCCUAGGUAUUUUGUUGUUUUUGGUACAAUUGUAAAUGGAACUGUUUUCUUAAUUUCACUUUCUGCUGCUUCAUUACUCAUGUAUAGACCUGCAACAGAUUUCUGUACACUGAUUUGUAUCCUGAGACUUUGCUGAAUUCAUUUAUCAGUUCUAGUAGUUUUUUGGUGGAGCCUUUAGGGUUUCUUAUAUAUGAUAUGUCGUCUGCAAAUAAUGAGAAUUUGACUUCUUCCUUACCAGUUUGGAUGCUUUUUUUUUUUUUUUUUUAAUGUUGUCUGAUUGCUGUGGCUAGGACUUCCGGUACUAUGUUGAAUAAAAGUGGUGAAAAUGGACAUCCUUUCUUUUUCCUGACCUUAGGGGAAAAGCUCUCAGGUUUUCACCAUUGAGUAUGAUGUUGGCUGUGGGUUUUUCAUAAAAGGCCUUUAUUACAUUGAGGUAUGUUCCCUCUAGACCUACUUUGCAGAGAGUUUUUAUCAUGAAUGGAUGGUGUACUUUGUUGAGUGCUUUUUCUGCAUUUAUUGAAAUGAUCAUACGGUUUUUAUCAUUUCUCUUAUUGAUGUGACAUUAUCAUGUUGAUUGUUUUGUGAAUACUAAACCACCCUUGCAUCCUGGGAAUAAUCCCACUUGAUUGUGGUGUAUGGUUUUUAAAAAUAUAUUGUUGGAUUCAGUUUGCUAAUAUUUUGUUGAGGAUUUUUGCAUCUAUAUUCAUGAGAGAUAUUGGCCUGUAGUUCUCUUUUUUUGUGAUGUGUCUUUAUCUGUUUUUGGUAUCAGGCUGAUACUCACCUCACAGAAUGAAUUUGGAAGUCUUCCUUCCUCUUGUAUUUUUUUGAAUAGUUUGAGAAGAAUGGUUAUUAACUCUUCUUUAAAUGUUUGAUAGAAUUUGCCUGUGAGGCCAGCAGGUCCUGGGCUUUUGUUUGUUGGGAGUGUUUUUUGAUUACUGAUUCAAUUUCAUUGCUGGUGAUCAGUCUGUUCAAAUUUUCUUUUUCUUCCUGCUUUAGUUUUGGUAGGUUAUAUGUUUCUGGGAACUUAUACAUUUCUUGUAAGUUGUUCAAUUUGUUGGCAUGCAGGUUACAAUUGUUUUAUUUCUAUGGUAUUGGUUGUUAUCUCCUUUUUUUAUUAGUAAUUUUGUUUAUUUGGGUCCUCUCUCUUUCUCUCUCUCACAUCGAUUUUGUUGAUGUUUUCAAAGAAACAGAUCCUGAUUUCACUGAUCUGUUCUAUUGGUUUUUUUAGUUUCUGUAUCAUUUAUUUCUGUUCUAGUCUUUAUUAUUUACUUCUUUCUCCUGGUUUUGGGUUUUGUUUGUUCUUUUUUCUAGCUUCUUUAGGUGUCAGGUUAGGUGGUUUGAUAUUUGUCUUGCUUCUUGAGGUAUGCCUGCAUUGCCCCCGCUGCUUUCAUUUCGCUUCACCCUUUUGUUCUCCUGCCAUUGCCUCCUCACCUUCCAAGCUUGGCUUGGGAUGUGAACAACCUUCCCAACAGCCCCCGGAAGAGCUGGCUACUCCCCCAAUGUUCUGCCCCAGCCCCUGGUACACAGAGUUCUGUUAGCACAUAUCACACUGCAUUAUAAUGACCUGUUUAUAGGUGUACCUCCCUUACUAGACAGCCCAAGGAAAGGGAUCCUGUUUUUACAUUUACAUUAAUAUCAUGUUUUACAUUUAAAUGUCUCUUCCCUUGCAUAGCAGAACUUGGUUAUUACCAGCUAUCCCAAUUCUUGAUGAAUAAAUGAUUCAACCAGUUAGCCAAACUAGAAUUCCUCUGAAGUUCAUUAGUCUUUGCUAAUGGCGUCCCCCCUGUCUAAACCAAUUAUGACUCUUGGAUAGCCACAAAAUUGUCACAGGUGUUAAAAGAGAUUCUUGCAUCCAUGAUCUCUGUUUCUUCCUUGUGCAGUUGUUACAAAGAUUCUUCUACAUCAAGAGUAUUUUGUAAAGUUAUGCCAAGAUUCUGGGGACCACAAAUUGGGGAAGCCAUUCCAUUUGGGAUAUUAUCCUCAUUUUAUACAGAACAUUGAGUGUCUGCAGGUCAGGUCUCACGGCCAGUCAGGGAUGAUGAUGGCAUUGGGGGCUGGCCCUUCUGGCUCUGUAGCUCUUAUCAUCACACAGGGCUGGGCUGGGGUGGGGUCCAUGACCUCGGCCUCUUUUGCUGGCAAACAUUGUUCAGAAUAUGACUCAGCAUAUGAUUCCUCUGUGUGUGUGCACGUGUGUGUAUGUGCACGAGGGAGAGAAGUAGCAAAGGCUCAGCGAACUUCCUCUCCUUUGUGCACUGAGUGUGGAAAGUGCUCACUGCCACUGGGUGUUGCUAGCUGAGGUGGAGGAGGAUAGAAAACAAGAGAAGAAAAUCAGAGUGUGUCCAGCGUGAGAGAAGAAGCAGGGGGUGAAAGAUGAGAAGGAAAAGUACAGAAGAGGCCUAGGGACACCCAUCUAUACCCCUGCAUCCCUCUCUUGCCUCCACAUUCCCCCUGAAACAAGCUGAAGGACGUGGCACUGUCCUGGCUGCUGUGACAAUGGUUCUAAGCCUGCCCAGCUUGGUUCAGCCUUAGCAGGAAGAAGCAGGUGUAAGCCGGGGCCUGCAGCUACCUGGGGCUGUGGGAAAGCCUGGGGUGAAGGGGUACCACUUGGUCAGGAGCCCCUGAAGCUGGGGUUGGGGAGAGGCUCAGGAGGGUGGGUAGGAGGCCUCUAUUACAGACCCAGCAGCGGACAGAUGUCAAUGCAAAAGGGCUGAGGAGCAGGUCUGCCCUUCCUGCCUGCGGUAGGCUGAAUAAUGGUCCCCCAAAACGCCCACGUCCUAACCCCCGGAACCUGUGAAGGUUACCGCACAUGGCAAAGGAGACUUUACAGAUGGCAUUUAGUUAAGACUCUUGAGAUGGGGAGAUUAGCCUGGAGGAUCCAGGUGGGCCCCUAAGUAGCUGCAAGGUUCUCGAAGCACAUGGUGGGGCAGAAGCAGCUUCCUUCAUCUGAUGCAAAUGUACUGAACACCUAGUACAUGAGGCGGCUCUGGGGGCCUGGGAUGCAGCAGUGAAAACACAACACAAGGUUCCUGCCCUCGUGGUGUUCACAGUCCAGUGGAGGAAGACCGGGAGACAAGAGGCAAGGACCUGUAUAUCAGAGGUUGGUAAGUGCUGGGGAGACAAUUAGCAAGGUGAGGGCGAGGGAAGUGCUGGGGAAGGGAUAAGGUGGUCAGGGAAGGCCUGAGAAGAUACAGUUUGGGCCACAGAGAUCUCUGAAGGAAGCAGAACAUUCCAGGCAGGAAGAAUAGCAGGACACAGGCUUGGGGCAGGACACUUUCCAGGACAGCAAGGAGCCCAGGGAGGCUGGCGUGGGCUGAGUGGUGGGGCAGUGAUAGGAGGUGAGUGUGUGUGGAGGCAGAGGGUGGAUGGCGUGGGGCCUCGUGGACUUUAGGCCACUUGCCAAGGGAGCCCUGGGAGGGUUUUGAGAGGAGGAGUGAACUGGUCUGAGUGUUAAAAGGAUCUCUCUAGGAGACCCAGAUACCCCCUUUAUCUGUUUGGCAGCCGCACCUGCUAAACUGUAGUCCCUCAGCUAAAUCAGGGGAAAGACAAAGAAACCAGUCUUUGUGGCUCCAUCCUUGGUCCUCUUACCCCACUUCUCAUUAGUGGAACCACCUGUCUGUGCAUGGCAUAUGCAUGGUCCUCUCCCCUCUUCUUUUGCAGGGCGGUUCCCUGCCCGCCUCCUACCUCAUCAGUCAUUUACACUUUAGUGAGAUCAAGGAUGUGUAUCCCAUUACUGUCUCUAAGGUUAUGAGUUGAAUUGUGGCACCCAAAAGAUAUAUUGAAGGCCUAAUUUUCCAGUACCUCAGAAUGUGACCUUAUUUGGAAAUAAAGUCAUUGCAGAUGUAAUUUAGUUCAGAUAAGGUCAUACUAGAGUAGGGAGCACUCUUGGUGCAAUAUGAUUGGUGUCCUUGUAAGAGAGGGACGCCGAGGAUUGCUGGAAAGCCCUCACAGCUAGGAAGAGGCAAGGGAAGAUCCUCCCCUAGAGAACUCAGAGGGAGUAUGACCCUGCCAGCACCCUGAUUUCAGACGUCCGGCCUCCGGAACUGUGAGAGAACAAAUUUCUGUUGCUUUAAGCCACCCAGGUUGUGGCACUUGGUUAUGGCAACCUGAGGAAGCCAAUGCCAGGGAUAUUAUCUUUCUUAGAGACAUUCUUCUAAUUGCGAUGCUCUGUUUUGGGGGCAUCCUGGAGCUGCAUGAGAAUUCAGAAGGGUCUAUUUCUCUCCACGGCCAGGGUCUGUUCACAGGUCAGGGACACAGAGUGAUCAAAACAGAGUGCCCUUCAAACAAACACUUGCAUGCAAAUAUUCAUUGUAGCAUCACUUAAAAUAGUGGAAGGUACAAACGACCCAAAUGUCCAUCAGCUGACCAACGGCUAAAGAAAACGCGGCAUAUCCAUACGUGGAGUAGUAUCCAGCCAUAAAAGAAACAGAAUAGUGCUUUGAUCUACAACACGCGUGGGCCUCGAAAACAUUAUG